rnacentral:miRNA from 1 species
UCGGUGAAUGCCAACGGAUUU